rnacentral:rRNA from 1 species
GUAGGGGGCAAGCGUUAUCCGGAUUUACUGGGUGUAAAGGGAGCGUAGACGGAUGGACAAGUCUGAUGUGAAAGGCUGGGGCUCAACCCCGGGACUGCAUUGGAAACUGCCCGUCUUGAGUGCCGGAGAGGUAAGCGGAAUUCCUAGUGUAGCGGUGAAAUGCGUAGAUAUUAGGAGGAACACCAGUGGCGAAGGCGGCUUACUGGACGGUAACUGACGUUGAGGCUCGAAAGUGUGGGGAGCAAACAGGAUUAGAUACCCUGGUAGUCCACGCGGUAAACGAUGAAUGCUAGGUGUCGGGGAGCAAAGCUCUUCGGUGCCGCCGCAAACGCAUUAAGCAUUCCACCUGGGGAGU